rnacentral:lncRNA from 1 species
CAUCGUUCACUCCCUUUGGUACAAUCCAUUCCCUUUCUCGUCGGGAUUCACACAGCAUGGUCAAAGGCAAUACUUUAACAUCACGAAAUCAAGCUAGGUUUACAAAUGUAAGAGAAGACUUCUGAGGUAGCUGAUGAACAUGCCGGCAGAGAGGUUGAAUUCCGAGGUGAACCAGUCAUUCCAAUCCAAGGGAGACAGCGUUUGGAAGCUUUAAUCUAUGAAAGUCCUGGAUAGCAUCUUCCAAUAGAAGGCUGUUUCAUCUACACUGAAGAUCUGUUGUUUACUGUUGUCACCUUCAUCGAUGAUCAUAACCAGAACUUCUGGGUGACUUGCUGCAGCUUCUACAUCAGCACUUGCUGCUUCACCUUACAUGUCUAUGCAGUGGAGAUGGCUUCUCUCCUUCAACUUCAUCAACCAACCUCUACUACCUUCAAAUGUUUCUUGUGCAUCUUCCUCACCUCUCUCAGCCUUCAUGAUAUUAAAAAGAGUUAGACCCUUGUCUGAAUCAGGUCUUG